rnacentral:snoRNA from 1 species
AAAAGGUGUGAUGAUGUUUAUCCAUCUAUUCUGUAAGAUUCUAUGAUGAAUUCAAAAACAUGCACUACCAUCUGAUCUUUU